rnacentral:rRNA from 1 species
GACGAACGCUGGCGGCGUGCUUAACACAUGCAAGUCGAACGGAAAGGCCCUGCUUUUGUGGGGUGCUCGAGUGGCGAACGGGUGAGUAACACGUGAGUAACCUGCCCUUGACUUUGGGAUAACUUCAGGAAACUGGGGCUAAUACCGGAUAGGAGCUCCUGCUGCAUGGUGGGGGUUGGAACGUUUCGGCGGUUGGGGAUGGACUCGCGGCUUAUCAGCUUGUUGGUGGGGUAGUGGCUUACCAAGGCUUUGACGGGUAGCCGGCCUGAGAGGGUGACCGGCCACAUUGGGACUGAGAUACGGCCCAGACGCCUACGGGAGGCAGCAGUGGGGAAUAUUGCACAGUGGGCGGAAGCCUGAUGCAGCAACGCCGCGUGCGGGAUGACGGCCUUCGGGUUGUAAACCGCUUUCGCCUGUGACGAAGCGUGAGUGACGGUAAUGGGUAAAGAAGCACCGGCUAACUACGUG